GAAACCUGGUACAGCCACUGCAAGAGAAACACCCCCUCUCGAAAAUUUUUCCCAAACUUUUUUCCAAAAGCUAAUAUUGAAAUCGAAAAGCGCUAAAAAAUCACUUUUACCAUUAUUUUGACUGCCAUCGGUUGAGUUAUCAAACAGCACCUUACGACCACACACAAUCCAGCCAGCAACAGUCAUACCGAAAGUUUGAAUCGGACAUUGACUACCAUGCUCAGAAAAACAUCGGAACAAAGAUGCCAGGAUAAUUGAAAAAAUAUUCUUCAAAAAUUAUGCUUCCCAUACCGAACAUCAAUUCACUGUUCAACACUAGAAAUUUCUUUUUUCUCCUUUAUAGUAGAGACAUUAAAUUUCCGAUUAAAAAUAGACGCCAUGCCCACACUUGUGGCCUCCCGAUUUGACUAUGUGGCAUCUCUUUAUGUAACGACUUUGAAUCAGCUUCCAGCAAACUUGUGAAAAAAAAACAACGAGAGAAAUCCAACAAAUGAGCCAUCGUUGACUACGAAGUGGGUAACAGAGUACUACUAGACGUAAAAGUCAUUACGUAUGUUUAAUUCCAAGGACCUUCAGCAUUGGUGUACGAAAAAAAAACUGUGGAUAUCAGUGACAACGCCCUAAUCCCUAAGCGCGUUCUCACAAUAUAUAUAUUCUCAUAUCUAUGUAACAAUACAAUAUCGCUAUUUUAUUUUCAAAAA